GUUAGCUAAUCAGUAUAUCAGAUCAGCUCAUGUGAGUUUGAACUGAACCCAAACCCAGCGUAUGAGUGGCGUGUUUGCCUCUGUCUGUGUUCAUACUGCCCUAGAGGAGGAGACUUACCUCAUCACACACCUGGGAGACACACUGGUGACGGGUCAGGAAAAGAGCAGCACUCUGGAGUGAUUCCACUGGUGCAUUUAUUACAAUUCAACUGAUUACACACAAGCCAAUGCAUAACUGCAACAUUGAUAUCAUGCGGUUACAAAGAUACAUUUAUCAUGUACUGCUGCAGACAUGGAUCUUUAUUGUUUAAAUGAUUAAAUAAAAUAUUGCAAAA